rnacentral:pre_miRNA from 1 species
UUAGUACUCCCUCCGUCCCAAAAUAAGUGUCUCAACUUUGUACUAAAGGUUGAGACACUUAUUUUGGGACGGAGGGAGUACAAC